rnacentral:rRNA from 1 species
AGUGAACGCUGGCGGUAGGCCUAACACAUGCAAGUCGAACGGCAGCACAGAGGAGCUUGCUCCUUGGGUGGCGAGUGGCGGACGGGUGAGGAACACAUCGGAAUCUACUCUGUCGUGGGGGAUAACGUAGGGAAACUUACGCUAAUACCGCAUACGAUCUACGGGUGAAAGCAGGGGAUCUUCGGACCUUGCGCGAUUGAAUGAGCCGAUGUCGGAUUAGCUAGUUGGCGGGGUAAAGGCCCACCAAGGCGACGAUCCGUAGCUGGUCUGAGAGGAUGAUCAGCCACACUGGAACUGAGACACGGUCCAGACUCCUACGGGAGGCAGCAGUGGGGAAUAUUGGACAAUGGGCGCAAGCCUGAUCCAGCCAUACCGCGUGGGUGAAGAAGGCCUUCGGGUUGUAAAGCCCUUUUGUUGGGAAAGAAAUCCAUCUGGUUAAUACCCGGGUGGGAUGACGGUACCCAAAGAAUAAGCACCGGCUAACUUCGUGCCAGCCGCCGCGGUAA